CAAUAGCGUAUAUUAAAGUUGUUGCAGUUAAAAAGCUCGUAGUUGGAUUUGUGGCGUACGGUGUGUUCCGGGCACCUGUUGUCUGAGUAACCUGCUGUUGCCAUCCUUGGGUGGAACCUGUGUGGCAUUAGGUUGUCGUGCAGGGGAUGCCCAUCAUUUACUGUGAAAAAAUUAGAGUGUUCAAAGCAGGCUUAUGCCGUUGAAUAUAUUAGCAUGGAAUAAUGAGAUAGGACUUUUUUGCUAUUUUGUUGGUUUGCGCAAGAAGGUAAUGAUUAAUAGGGACAGUUGGGGGUAUUCGUAUUCCAUUGUCAGAGGUGAAAUUCUUGGAUUUUUGGAAGACGAACUACUGCGAAAGCAUUUACCAAGGAUGUUUUCAUUAA
rnacentral:rRNA from 1 species